rnacentral:rRNA from 1 species
AGAUGACGAAGUGGUUGAUGCCAUGCUUCCAAGAAAAGCUUCUAAGCUUCAGGUAACCAGGAACCGUACCCCAAACCGACACAGGUGGUCGGGUAGAGAAUACCAAGGCGCUUGAGAGAACUCGGGUGAAGGAACUAGGCAAAAUGGCACCGUAACUUCGGGAGAAGGUGCGCCGGCUAGGGUGAAGGAUUUACUCCGUAAGCUCUGGCUGGUCGAAGAUACCAGGCCGCUGCGACUGUUUAUUAAAAACACAGCACUCUGCAAACACGAAAGUGGACGUAUAGGGUGUGACGCCUGCCCGGUGCCGGAAGGUUAAUUGAUGGGGUUAGCGCAAGCGAAGCUCUUGAUCGAAGCCCCGGUAAACGGCGGCCGUAACUAUAACGGUCCUAAGGUAGCGAAAUUCCUUGUCGGGUAAGUUCCGACCUGCACGAAUGGCGUAACGAUGGCGGCGCUGUCUCCACCCGAGACUCAGUGAAAUUGAAAUCGCUGUGAAGAUGCAGUGUAUCCGCGGCUAGACGGAAAGACCCCGUGAACCUUUACUGUAGCUUUGCACUGGACUUUGAGCCUGCUUGUGUAGGAUAGGUGGGAGGCUUUGAAGCGUGGACGCCAGUUCGCGUGGAGCCAUCCUUGAAAUACCACCCUGGCAUGCUUGAGGUUCUAACUCUGGUCCGUAAUCCGGAUCGAGGACAGUGUAUGGUGGGCAGUUUGACUGGGGCGGUCUCCUCCUAAAGAGUAACGGAGGAGUACGAAGGUGCGCUCAGACCGGUCGGAAAUCGAUCGCAGAGUAUAAAGGCAAAAGCGCGCUUGACUGCGAGACAGACACGUCGAGCAGGUACGAAAGUAGGUCUUAGUGAUCCGGUGGUUCUGUAUGGAAGGGCCAUCGCUCAACGGAUAAAAGGUACUCCGGGGAUAACAGGCUGAUACCGCCCAAGAGUUCAUAUCGACGGCGGUGUUUGGCACCUCGAUGUCGGCUCAUCACAUCCUGGGGCUGAAGCCGGUCCCAAGGGUAUGGCUGUUCGCCAUUUAAAGUGGUACGCGAGCUGGGUUUAGAACGUCGUGAGACAGUUCGGUCCCUAUCUGCCGUGGACGUUUGAGAUUUGAGAGGGGCUGCUCCUAGUACGAGAGGACCGGAGUGGACGAACCUCUGGUGUUCCGGUUGUCACGCCAGUGGCAUUGCCGGGUAGCUAUGUUCGGAAAAGAUAACCGCUGAAAGCAUCUAAGCGGGAAACUUGCCUCAAGAUGAGAUCUCACUGGGAACUUGAUUCCCCUGAAGGGCCGUCGAAGACUACGACGUUGAUAGGCUGGGUGUGUAAGCGUUGUGAGGCGUUGAGCUAACCAGUACUAAUUGCCCGUGAGGCUUGACC